CCCCGGCAUCGCGGCCUGCCCCAACCCUGCAGCCUGCAACGCCACAGCUUGCCCCAACGGCCCACGUCUCUGUGGGGAUCCAGCAGGGCACCAGCGGCACUGCACGGCGGCAUCAUCAUGGUUCCCCCCCUCCAGAGGUGGUUGGCCGGCUCUCCAACGAGUGUGAGAGGCAGCUGCGGGUGCUGGAGGAGACGCAGGCAGAGGCAUGAGAACGCCAUCACGAGUUCAUGGAGGAGGUGAGGGGCUUGCGUUCGGCUCACAAGCACAUUGCAAGAGCCCUUGAACUCCUCGUGGGCGCCCUUGUGCCUGGCCAUGCCACGCCC